rnacentral:pre_miRNA from 1 species
AUUACCUGGGGAAUUUGUUAAACUGCAGAUUCUGAUUCGGGAGGUCUGGGGUGGGGACAGAAACUUUGCAUUUCUAACAAGCUCCCAGGUGAUGCUGA